CAGCCGCGCGGGAAUACGAAGGGGGCUAGCGUUGCUCGGAAUCACUGGGCGUAAAGGGUGCGUAGGCGGGUCUUUAAGUCAGGGGUGAAAUCCUGGAGCUCAACUCCAGAACUGCCUUUGAUACUGAAGAUCUUGAGUUCGGGAGAGGUGAGUGAAACUGCGAGUGUAGAGGUGAAAUUCGUAGAUAUUCGUAAGAACACCAGUGGCGAAGGCGGCUCACUGGCCCGAUACUGACGCUGAGGCACGAAAGCGUGGGGAGCAAACAGGAUUAGAUACCCCCGUAGUCCCUGUCUCUUAUACA
rnacentral:rRNA from 1 species